CGAAGGUAGCAGAGAAUAUGCAGAGUUUCUUCACCUCCCAAGGAAAAGGUUCACUGAUUUUGCUGCUGUGCGGAGGGAGAUCCAAGAUGAGACUGAUCGAGAGACUGGACGCACAAAACAAAUCUCUAGUGUUCCAAUUCAUCUGAGUAUAUACUCUCCUAAUGUUGUCAACUUGACAUUGAUUGAUCUUCCUGGGCUCACAAAAGUAGCUGUUGAGGGUCAGCCAGAUAGUAUUGUGCAAGAUAUUGAAAAUAUGGUUCGCUCCUACAUUGAGAAGCCCAACUGUAUAAUCCUAGCAAUUUCACCUGCCAAUCAAGAUCUUGCAACAUCUGAUGCAAUUAAAAUCUCUCGUGAGGUGGACCCUACAGGAGAGAGAACUCUUGGGGUCUUGACAAAGAUUGAUCUUAUGGAUAAGGGUACCGAUGCUGUUGAUAUAUUGGAAGGAAAAGCUUAUCGGCUAAAAUUUCCUUGGGUUGGUGU
rnacentral:misc_RNA from 1 species